rnacentral:rRNA from 1 species
AUGGGCCAUUUUUUCCCAGACCUCUCAUACCCGUUCACGGGUCCGUGUACGGGUCCGUGUACGCGGCGUGUGCCACGUACAUGGUUUUGCCCAGUUUUCCAUGGCGCGCGUCAACUUCCGUUCACGACGGCCGUCGGGCACUUUUUUCCCGUGUCCACGUACAGCCCGUUCACGGGUCCGUGUAAGGGUCCGUGUACGCGGCGUGUGCCACGUACGUGGUUUUGCCCAGUUUUCCAUGGCGCGCGUCAACUUCCGUCCACGACGGCCGUCGGGCACUUUUUUCCCGUGUCCACGUACCGCCCGUUCACGGGUCCGUGUAAGGGUCCGUGUACGCGGCGUGUGCCACGUACGUGGUUUUGCCCAGUUUUCCAUGGCGCGCGUCCACUUCCGUCCACGACGGCCGUCGGGCACUUUUUUCCCGUGUCCACGUACAGCCCGUUCACGGCUCCGUGUAAGGGUCCGUGUACGCGGCGUGUGCCACGUACGUGGUUUUGCCCAGUUUUCCAUGGCCCGCGUCAACUUCCGUCCACGACGGCCGUCGGGCACUUUUUUCCCGUGUCCACGUACAGCCCGUUCACGGCUCCGUGUAAGGGUCCGUGUACGUGGCGUGUGCCACGUACGUGGUUUUGCCCAGUUUUCCAUGGCGCGCGUCAACUUCCGUCCACGACGGCCGUCGGGCACUUUUUUCCCGUGUCCACGUACAGCCCGUUCACGCCUCCGUGUAAGGGUCCGUGUACGCGGCGUGUGCCACGUACGUGGUUUUGCCCAGUUUUCCAUGGCGCGCGUCAACUUCCGUCCACGACGGCCGUCGGGCACUUUUUUCCCGUGUCCACGUACAGCCCGUUCACGGGUCCGUGUAAGGGUCCGUGUACGCGGCGUGUGCCACGUACGUGGUUUUGCCCAGUUUUCCAUGGCGCGCGUCAACUUCCGUCCAUGACGGCCGUCGGGCACUUUUUUCCCGUGUCCACGUACAGCCCGUUCACGGGUCCGUGUAAGGGGCCGUGUACGCGGCGUGUGCCACGUACGUGGUUUUGCCCAGUUUUCCAUGGCGCGCGUCAACUUCCGUCCACGACGGCCGUCGGGCACUUUUUUCCUGUGUCCACGUACAGCCCGUUCACGGGUCCGUGUAAGGGGCCGUGUACGCGGCGUGUGCCACGUACGUGGUUUUGCCUAGUUUUCCAUGGCGCGCGUCCACUUCCGUCCAGGACGGCCGUUGGCCAGUUUUUUCCCGUGUCCACGUACAGCCCGUUCACGGGUCCGUGUAAGGGUCCGUGUACGCGGCGUGUGCCACGUACGUGGUUUUGCCCAGUUUUCCAUGGCGCGCGUCAACUUCCGUCCACGACGGCCGUCGGCCAGUUUUUUCCCGUGUCCACGUACAGCCCGUUCACGGCUCCGUGUAAGGGUCCGUCUACGCGGCGUGUGCCACGUACGUGGUUUUGCCCGGUUUUCCAUGGCGCGCGUCAACUUCCGUCCACGACGGCGGUCGGCCAGUUUUUUCCCGUGUCCUCGUACAGCCCGUUCACGGCUCCCUUUAAGUGUUUUUGCCUGGUGAUCAAUGGGGCGCGUCCACAUCCGUCCAUGAAGUAUGUCAAGCACUUCUUUCCCGGGUCCCUGUACAGCCCGUUCAUGGGUCCGUGUAAGUGUCUUUGUGAUGAGUUGCACACAUGA